ACAGAUCGUUCAGAGUUUGAUCCUGGCUCAGGAUGAACGCUAGCUACAGGCUUAACACAUGCAAGUCGAGGGGCAGCACUAGGUAGCAAUACUGAGGUGGCGACCGGCGCACGGGUGCGUAACGCGUAUCCAACCUUCCCGUUACUCAGGGAUAGCCUUCCGAAAGGGAGAUUAAUACCUGAUGGUAUUCAAAUUUCGCAUGUUAUUUGAAUUAAAGAUUUAUCGGUAACGGAUGGGGAUGCGUGACAUUAGGUAGAUGGCGGGGUAACGGCCCACCAUGCCCACGAUGUCUAGGGGUUCUGAGAGGAAGGUCCCCCACACUGGAACUGAGACACGGUCCAG
rnacentral:rRNA from 1 species